rnacentral:rRNA from 1 species
UACGUAGGGUGCGAGCGUUGUCCGGAAUUAUUGGGCGUAAAGAGCUCGUAGGCGGUUUGUCACGUCGGAUGUGAAAUCCCGGGGCUUAACUCCGGGCCUGCAUUCGAUACGGGCUGACUAGAGUUCGGCAGGGGAGACUGGAAUUCCUGGUGUAGCGGUGAAAUGCGCAGAUAUCAGGAGGAACACCGGUGGCGAAGGCGGGUCUCUGGGCCGAUACUGACGCUGAGGAGCGAAAGCGUGGGGAGCAAACAGG